ensembl:lncRNA
UUCGGCUUCAAACCAGAACGUCAGUGCAGGAAAGUUAAAAUUUGAUAAACGAGAGAGCUGAGGCCAAGGAACGAGAGCUUGUCAUGGACUCUAGACUGGAAACCAGCACCCAGUGGGGACUGGACUGAUGACCAGGCCAACUCCUUCCCUGGCUGCGUUUGGACUUCCAAUUGGAUCUCUCAGGGCAGGGCCUUUGGGAAUUCCCAUGAAGUAUAUUUCCCGGCUCGCAGGAAUGACCGCCCAUCCCCCUCUCCCAAGGAGAGCCCUGCCUGAGGGACACAGGGAAGAAGAGGAGGGCAGGCCGGCAGCUGCCUCCGUGUGUCCUUUACUCUCCUGGGCGAUUGGGCCCUGCCCCAAGUUCCUGAGCCCUCUCCCCAGACGCCCCGCCUGUGCCCACACCAUCCUCCUUGGAAGGCACUUCAGUAAACGGCUCUUGUACUGCGCAUCUUCCUUGGCGAGGGUCUCUCCCCACCCCCAAGCAGCUUGUCCAAGCGGGUCGUCCUGGGGAGCUGUGGAGAACACAGCUUUCUCAGUCCCCUUACAGGACCCGUGAUGUUGUAGCCCCCCGCGUUUGAGCCUCCUCCUGGGUUAGUGCCUGG